rnacentral:misc_RNA from 1 species
CCAAACUUGGUCAUUUAGAGGAAGUAAAAGUCGUAACAAGGUUUCCGUAGGUGAACCUGCGGAAGGAUCAUUAUUGAAGCAAAAAUAUAUAGUCUUGGAUUUGUAAAAGAAUCCCAAGCUAUUUAUAUUCUUCUACAAACCCACUGUGAACCAAUUAAGAGACUAAAGUAUAUCCUUCACAGGGUUACUUCUGUUUCGCUUUAAUCGGACAGAAUACAUGUAGUGUGUAUACUGGUCGAGGACGAACCAAUUUGUUUUGGUCGGCCGAAUUACCUUUUUUUUAAAUUCAAAAAGAUGAAGAGAAUGACAAGAAAUUUGAUAAACAAAUUAAAACUUUCAGUGACGGAUCUCUUGGCUCUCGCAUCGAUGAAGAACGCAGC